AUGCACGCAACAAUCACCCCACAGUUUGCCCUGCCCCCAGCCUGCCCUGGGCUCUUGUCUCCCCAUCUCCUGCUGCAUUGGGGGUGCCCCCUGGUGCUCUGCAACCCCCCCGGCCCCAUCCUCGGGCUCCAGAGGGGUCAUUUCGCAUCCCCUGCCCACAGCAGCGGACAGACCUCAGGGGUGUGCCCUGGCCCCAGGCAAGGGUUUCUCCCCUCACUGGGCCACAGGCCAGCCCCCCGCAGACGCCACGCAUGCACCUGCGCAUUCUCACCCCCCCCAUCCUGGGGUGGCCACCCUGCCGACAGCCAGACUCCCCCCGCCACCUCUCCCACAGGCUGGCAUCCCCCUGGCUCAGGGUCGCAUCGCUGUGUCACUACCCCUCUGCAGCCCCCUCCUUCUUGCCAAAGGACCUAUCCCCAUAGACUGGCCUUGGGGUGGCAGGAAGGACCCUCCUGCCACCCCCACCCCCCCGGUUCUACUAUGUCUUCCAGCUAUGACUGCAGAGGGGGUCUGGUGUGAAACAAACAAAAAGACAAAACCAAACCCGAUAUAUGCAAUAUUUGUCUGUCUGUACCUGUAAGGUCUAGCUCAGCCACGGAGGCCCGGCCGGGGGGUUGACGCCAGGGGGCAGGGAUGGCCGGGGGGCACCGCGUCACAGGCCCUGUCCAAGGGGCCGGCCAUUGCUGUUGUCUUUUCUUCGGUUUUAUUUUCUCUUGUUUUCCUUUCUGCCUUCUUUUUCUUUCUCUCUUCCUUUUUUUUCCUCCAAUUUUCUCUGCCUUUAACUCUACCAAAGCCGAGACAGUAGCAGUCAGUGAAGUGUCCAGGCAAGAGACCCCGAGGCUGGGUCCACCAACCUUGGGCCCAUCCCUCCUCGCCAUCUCCGGCCCUCCCGGUCCCUGGGCCCCUUGAACAUCUCCUGUUGGCGUACGCUUGGCGGGCAGUCCCCAUUCGCUCCCUGGCCACCACCUUGGAUGUUAGAAUUGUCUCCAGAGCUGGGUGGGGCCUUGCAGCCAGACCCUGGCUUUCGUCUGCCACUCUUUGCUCACGCCAUGUUUUCUUCCAAAAAGACACCUCAGCCAGCCCCAGGGCCAGGGGGGUAGAGACCAGGCCCCGGCCUUGACCCUGCCCUUGAGAACGGCCCUUUGGCCCAAGAGCCCAAGGCCCUGCUUGUCAGUUUCCACAGGGCCCAUUUCCGGCUUUCAUACCCCCCCACCCCCGCAACCAGGGAAGUGGGGACAGUCAGUGGCACAGGGGAGUGGGUGGCACGUCCCUGUGGGACCCCUCCUCCAUAGGCUUGCCUUGGACCAUGGUGUUCUUCAUGACUGCACCCUACAGCACCCUGGGCCUCAGAGCCCCUCCCUUCCUUGCCUGCUGUGCAUCAGAAUAGGCAGAAACACUAGGAAUCAGGCUCCCACCUGCCAAUGCAGUUGGGGCUCAUGCCCUGGGAGGGAGGUGGGCAGGGUGUUGGGUGUUUUUGGUUUUUUUGACACUUAAUGAAACUGACAUCUCAAACCCCAUCCCCUCCCAAGCCCACCAUCACCCCCUCACUCAUAGCCCAUCCCAUGCAGAGUCCCCUAGCCUGACUUUGGGGUCCAGUCCUUGCUGUGGAAAAGACUAAGGGAGACCUCCCCAAUAUAUGCAGAUCACCUCCAUCGCUCUCUUUGGAUGGAGGUAGCAGACCCUGACCAGUGUGGAGAGGGAGGUGUGGAGUGGCAAGCCAGCCCCGCCCUAUCUGACCUGGGGAGGGAGGAUGGGUCCAGGGUCCCCAGUGCCCAGGUCUGGAACCCACAUUCUGGCUGGAUUAUGAGCCCCGAUUCCCACCCUGAGCUAGACAAUCAGACUGGAAGGGAACCCCAAGGGAGGCUGCAGGGAGGGGGCCCUGCUGCCGCUCCCCAAGCAGCAGUUUCAGCCUCAGCACCCCCCCACACCCCCAGCUCCGGAACUUUCCCUCUGUCCCCGGAGACAGCAGCAUUCCAGGAGCAGACACAUUUGGCUGGACAGCUACCAGUGAGGCAGGAUCCCGGGGCCAGGAGCAGCCAUCCAGCCCUCUGGGAGAGACGGGACCCCAGCCACCCACUCCCUCUGGCUUCUCUGAUGGUACUUUGACCUCCAGUGUAGGGCUAUACUAUACAUUAUAUAUAUAUGUAUAAUUUUGGAAUUUUUUUCUCAUAAUACAGAUUAUACAGUGGCUACUUUUUAUUUUGGCCUGGAGUCUCUCUCUCUUUGAGACCCCUGAUUUUUACUUUUUGUGUGUAGGGGGGUGGGUUAGGGAGAGUGAUGGGAGAGAGGUUCCAGAGACACGCCCUCAGGUCCUACAUCUCCUGCAUCCUUCCGUCUUUCUGCCCCUUCGGACACUCCCUGAGAGCCGCAUCUCCAAACUGACGCCACCUCUCCCCCUGCCACCCAUCGAUCUAUCCCUAAGCAUUUCAGAGUGUGUGGGGUCCGAGCUGGCCCCGGAGGCCCACCCCCACCCCACCCCGCUCCCCAGGUGAAGCAAGGAGACCCAAAGCAAUCCCAGCAGGACUUGUUGCCAGCGAUACCAAAACAGACUUCCCAAGCAGUGCCUCACACGUCUGCUGGUGUAGCUUUGAGGUCCUCCUUCCCGACUCCCAGGGGGUCUUCAGGCCUCAGGAAAGAGGAGGCGGGAUCCAACAGGAACAUGGGCUCCAGGAGAGGAAGACCCACUCCCCCCGCAAAUUCCCGCCCUUCACACCACCUGGCUAGAAGAAGACCCGCUGGAAAGGGGCCAGGAGCUACCCAGCCCCCCUCCGGUUGUGAGCCCCCAAAGCUCACUCCCUAAGUGCAUCAGCACCCCAGCCUCCCAUCUUGGAUCCCAGCCAGGCCCCCUGAAACCAAAGCCCCUUCCAGUCCAGGGGUCCUGGCCCCUACCCCCAUUCUCACCCUCUCCCCCUUGCCAGGGCCACACAUGGCGGGGGGCGGUGGUGGGAGGGCGAGACAGCAGGGUGUCUGAGGGACAGAACCACGUGGUCGGGGGGAGGCAACAGGGAGAAAGGAGGGAAACUCGUUUUCUCUCUGAAUUUUCUUUCUUUCUGUCUUUUUUUCUCUCACAUUUUUUGGUGGUGUUGCUGUUUCAUUUCCUGUCGCCUCGGAGAUAUAUUUUUUGAGUUUUUCCCCCCAUUUUGUAUUUUACCAAUAUUACCAGGAUAGUUUACUCUGUCUCUCGCUUUCUGCUUGCCACACAUACCGGAUCUCUCUCUCUCUCUCUCUCUCUCUCACACACACACACACACACACACACACACACACACACUGCUCAUGAACCUAUGUCAGGAGAAGGUUGGUGCCAGGCCAGCCCACUGCCCAUCUCCUUUCCCCUCUCCUCCUCCCCAAGGCAGGGAUGGGGGACAAGGAGCCGGACAUCCGGGCUGACCCAGGCCCAGCCUUCUCCUUGCCUGCUCCUCUGCCCCGUGCCCCCACAUCAUACUCCGUUCAUAACCUUGUAUAUUACGCAGUCGUUUCAGUUUGCGCGGACGCGCCUACCUAAGUACCAUUUACAGAAAGUGACUCUGGCUGUUAUUAUUUUGUUUGUUUGUUUCCCUAUGCAAAAAAAAAAAAAAAAAAAAAAAAUGAAAAAGGGGGGGUUCCAUAAAAGAUUCAAUAAAAUGCAAAAAAAAAAAAGAAAAAAGAAAAAAUGUAUAAAAAUUAAACAAGCUAUGCUUCGACUCUUUCUAGCUGUCUUGGGUCCUACUUUCUGUGUUGCGUUCAGGCUGUUCCAGGUUCUUGUCAAAGUGCAGGGAAGAGGCUGGAAGGGGAGGUAGCCUCAGAAAACCAGUCUUGGAAUUCGUCAGCACCUUUGAUCAACAAGUUCCAUGGGCAUCUAUGGAGCACCUGCUCUGUGCCAGCUCAGGUAAUUCCACCUCCUGCCUGGCUCCAGGGACAAAGCCUGGCACAUAGUCAGUGUUCCAUAAAUGUACAGACUGCCUUCCUUCCUUGUUUUUCCCCCACCUAGCAAAACCCCAUUCAUUCAGCAAAGAUUCCCUGAGUAUCUUCUGGGUACCUAGCCCUUGGGACACAAUGGAGAACAAAAUGCCCUAAAUGAUCUGCCUUCGUGGCACAGUUCAAAGUUGGGAAAACAGAAAAUAAACAAUAAAAAUAAAUGUAUGUCAGAGGAGAUAAAUGCCAGGGAGACAAAUAGAGCAGAGUACGGGAUAGGAGAGUUGGCCACAUGUGAGGAAGUAACCUUUCAACAGAAGUUUGAAUGGAGAGAAACAGCCCCUGAAAAUCUGACAGAAGAGUUUUCCAGGCAGAGGCACACACCAUGCAAAGGCCCUGGGGCAGGACUGUGCUUGGUGUGUUGGGGAACAGUGAGGUGGCCUGUGUGGCUUGGCGGAGAGAGGAGGGGCGAGAGGGAGAGGAGGGCAAGGAGGAGACAAGGCAGAUCAUUCAGGGGUUUGUGGGUCACAGGAGGACUUGGGAC
ensembl:lncRNA